rnacentral:rRNA from 1 species
GAUGAACGCUGGCGGCGUGCCUAAUACAUGCAAGUCGAGCGAACAGACGAGGAGCUUGCUCCUCUGACGUUAGCGGCGGACGGGUGAGUAACACGUGGAUAACCUACCUAUAAGACUGGGAUAACUUCGGGAAACCGGAGCUAAUACCGGAUAAUAUAUUGAACCGCAUGGUUCAAUAGUGAAAGACGGUUUUGCUGUCACUUAUAGAUGGAUCCGCGCCGCAUUAGCUAGUUGGUAAGGUAACGGCUUACCAAGGCGACGAUGCGUAGCCGACCUGAGAGGGUGAUAGGCCACACUGGAACCGAGACACGGUCCAGACUCCUACGGGAGGCAGCAGUAGGGAAUCUUCCGCAAUGGGCGAAAGCCUGACGGAGCAACGCCGCGUGAGUGAUGAAGGUCUUCGGAUCGUAAAACUCUGUUAUUAGGGAAGAACAAAUGUGUAAGUAACUAUGCACGUCUUGACGGUACCUAAUCAGAAAGCCACGGCUAACUACGUG